rnacentral:rRNA from 1 species
GUGCCAGCCGCCGCGGUAAUACGUAGGGUGCGAGCGUUGUCCGGAAUUACUGGGCGUAAAGAGCUCGUAGGUGGUUUGUCGCGUUGUUCGUGAAAUCUCACGGCUUAACUGUGAGCGUGCGGGCGAUACGGGCAGACUAGAGUACUGCAGGGGAGACUGGAAUUCCUGGUGUAGCGGUGGAAUGCGCAGAUAUCAGGAGGAACACCGGUGGCGAAGGCGGGUCUCUGGGCAGUAACUGACGCUGAGGAGCGAAAGCUUGGGGAGCGAACAGGAUUAGAUACCCUGGUAGUCCACGCCGUAAACGGUGGGUACUAGGUGUGGGUUUCCUUCCUUGGGAUCCGUGCCGUAGCUAACGCAUUAAGUACCCCGCCUGGGGAGUACGGCCGCAAGGCUAAAACUCAAAGGAAUUGACGGGGGCCCGCACAAGCGGCGGAGCAUGUGGAUUAAUUCGAUGCACGCGAAGAACCUUACCUGGGUUUGACAUGCACAGGACGCGUCUAGAGAUAGGCGUUCCCUUGUGGCCUGUGUGCAGGUGGUGCAUGGCUGUCGUCAGCUCGUGUCGUGAGAUGUUGGGUUAAGUCCCGCAACGAGCGCAACCCUUKUCUCAUGUUGCCAGCGGGUAAUGCCGGGGACUCGUGAGAGACUGCCGGGGUCAACUCGGAGGAAGGUGGGGAUGACGUCAAGUCAUCAUGCCCCUUAUGUCCAGGGCUUCACACAUGCUACAAUGGCCGGUACAAAGGGCUGCGAUGCCGUAAGGUUAAGCGAAUCCUUUUAAAGCCGGUCUCAGUUCGGAUUGGGGCCUGCAACUCGACCCCAUGAAGUCGGAGUCGCUAGUAAUCGCAGAUCAGCAACGCUGCGGUGAAUACGUUCCCGGGCCUUGUACUCACCGCCCGUC